CAGUCGCCGCGGGAAUACAGAGGGUGCGAGCGUUAAUCGGAUUUACUGGGCGUAAAGCGUGCGUAGGCGGCUAAUUGAGUCGGAUGUGAAAUCCCCGAGCUUAACUUGGGAAUUGCAUUCGAUACUGGUUAGCUAGAGUGUGGGAGAUGAUGGUAGAAUUCCAGGUGUAGCGGUGAAAUGCGUAGAGAUCUGGAGGAAUACCGAUGGCGAAGGCAGCCAUCUGGCCUAACACUGACGCUGAGGUACGAAAGCAUGGGGAGCAAACAGGAUUAGAUACCCCCGUAGUCCCUGUCUCUUAUAA
rnacentral:rRNA from 1 species